GAAUUAAUUAGCAUAAUAAAUAAGGAAUAAAAGUAAAAAAAAAAACCCUUCAACAACAUUUUCCUUUCAUUUUCCUCAAAAACCAUUUGAAAAGCUCUCUAAAUUCUCUUGCCCCAUCCAAUUCUUCAGCAACUGGACCAGAGCUUCAUCCCCAUCCGUUGUUUUACCGCCGUCGUUGGCCACCACGUGCAGUGGCCGAAGUUAAAAAAGUAAGUUUUUUUUUGUAUUUUUAUUCUUUUUAACAGAUAUACAUAGUAAAGAGUGGUCAAAUCCAAAAAAGAAACGAAAAAAAGAAGAAAAAAGAAAAGAAUCAAAACAACAACCUUGGUAACUUUCGAUUCUACAAAAUUGGCUUGUAUGUUUGCUGUCUUCCCGAUUUGUGUGACCGUCUGAGUUCGAUCUCUGCUUUUAUUACUUUUGGGUAUUUAAAAUCUUGGUAUUUGGUGUUAAAUCUUGUGUUUGUAUUGAAUCCAUCUUUUUUUUGCCUUGUUACAAUCUUUGGCUUUUAUAGCCUUUAUUUUUACAGGUACAAAAAUGAAAUUAUGGCGAACAUGGAGCCAUUGGAGCUGACAUGGGCGAGAGGCGACGUAGGGGAAGCCGACGUGGGCGCGCGAACGUGGAGGACAUGCGUGGGAAGGCUUGCGGCGGCUGCAACAGAAAAGGGUGUUAGGGUUUUUCUUUUUUCUUUUUUUAUUUAGGGUUAAAUAUUUAGGUCUAGGAUUAGUUUAGGGCUUGGGUAAUUUGGGCUUCAAAAUUGGGUUAAUUUUAUUUUGUUUUUGAUUUGAUUUUGGGUCUAUUUUUGGUCUUUGAAGUUUGUUUUUGGUUUAAAAAUUUAGGCUUUAAUGGUAAAUAGGCCCGGGCAAAAAUUGGUACCCACAAUUUACAUAAUAAAAAAAUAAGAUUAUUUCAAUUAAUAAAUAAUAAAUUAUUAAUUUUUCAAUCACACAUAUUUUCUUUAAUAUUUUUAUUUUUAAAAAUCUAUAUAUUUUGAAACUAAACACACCUUUAAUAAUUUACAUUCUCAAUCUCCGACAAUAUUCACCUAACCGUAGCUUAUACACAACAUGCUAUUGAUUUUCUUCUUCUAGAAAGAACAUUUUUUGAACAAUAUUUUUUUAAAUAAAAUAUGAACAUUCGCGGUAAUAAACCUAGACAAUUUUUUGG
rnacentral:lncRNA from 1 species